rnacentral:rRNA from 1 species
GACAGAGGUGCCAAGCGUUAGGCGGAAUCACUGGGCUUAAAGCGUGUGUAGGUGGAUUUGUAAGUACCUUGUGAAAUCCCAUGGCUCAACCAUGGAACUGCUCGGUAUACUGCGAAUCUUGAGCCACUUAGGGGCUACCGGAACAAAUGGUGGAGCGGUGAAAUGCGUAGAUAUCAUUUGGAACGCCAAUGGUGAAAACAGGUAGCUGGGGCUGUGCUGACGCUGAGACACGAAAGCCAGGGGAGCAAACGGG